GACGAACGCUGGCGGCGUGCCUAAUACAUGCAAGUAGAACGAGUGGCGCACGGGGGAGUAACGCGUGGUAACCUGCCUCAUAACGGGGGAUAACUACUUGGAACGGUAGGUAAUACCCCAUACCAUCGGAUGUGCCCCGAUGGGGUUAGCUAGGAGGUGGGGUAACGGCUCACCUUGGCGACGAUCCCUAGCUGGUCUGAGAGGAUGACCAGCCACACUGGAACUGAGACACGGGCCAGACUCCUACGGGAGGCAGCAGUGGGGAAUAUUGCACAAUGGGCGCAAGCCUGAUGCAGCCAUGCCGCGUGGAUGAAGAAGGCCUUCGGGUUGUAAAGUACUUUCAGCGAGGAGGCGUUACUCGCAGAAGAAGCACCGGCUAACUCCGUGCCAGCAGCCGCGGUAAUAC
rnacentral:rRNA from 1 species